rnacentral:lncRNA from 1 species
CAGGCCUCAGGUCCACUAGGGUGUUGUUUAUAUGCUCGACCAAGUCUUUUGAUUUGACUCGCCUAGAUGAUUGAAGUGAGACUUGACAACUUUCUUAAAAAUUGAUUAUAUGGUACUUAAUAAAGUGGUGAGGUUUGUACAUGGUGCCCAUCUUGUAUAAUACAAGUGAGGCACACAUUUAAAUUUUGUUGGAAGAUGUGGUUUCGCUAUCAUAAACCUUAUAAUGGCUUGAAAAUAUAUGUUUAACACUAAUUAUAAAAGUUAAAAUUUCAAAAAUAGGUGCACGUCAAGCGGAUAUGUAAACACAUAAAAAUGUUGAAAAUAAAUUACAAAUUGCACCAUUUUUGGAACAUUAUUUUUUUUUUCUUUAUAUUUCUUCGAUAUGAUUAAUUGAAAGAUUUCU